CGCAAGAGCGCAGACUGCAGCAGAACGCAGGGCCAGUAGGAUUUUCCUCCUCGUACUGGAACAGCCGAGAAACCAGAGAGACAGUUACCCGCUGAGGAGGAGAGAGACGUUAUUCAUGGAGGAUCCACUGAGGAGAACCUGACCCACAAGCUGCUGAGUGUGUAGGUUUGCAUCUGGCUCACAGAAGCAGUUGUGUGGACUCUUACACGCACCCAUCCCUCCUUUGGGACAGGCCCACUGCCUCCUCAUUUAUGGAUAGGAUGCUCGGCUCUGCGCCCUUGUGCUGAGGAGGCGUCUGCGGGCAACAGUAUGGGCGCUGUGCUGGCUGGCAUCCCCACAACCCCCUCCACCACCGAUCUGCCACCACCACGCUGCCCCACCGAGACGGGCGCUUCCCCCAGCCCCGCUGAUGGGCGAAGACACUGACGCCACCCCGACGCUCAACCACCGCGGCUUCCUCCCUGACCACAACUAUGUGACUGAAGGGCUGCUCCUGGCUAUAGCCUGAAGAGCUCCGCCCAUCCUGUCCACCCCUCUCCACCCUGGAGUCCUCCCCCAGGAUGUUGAGCCCCAUCCAGGUCCUGUGCUCCGACAUCACUACCCUUUCU